rnacentral:rRNA from 1 species
UACAGAGGGUGCGAGCGUUAAUCGGAAUUACUGGGCGUAAAGCGUGCGUAGACGGUUAUUUAAGUCGGAUGUGAAAGCCCCGGGCUCAACCUGGGAAUGGCGAUGAAGACUGCAAGGCUUGAAUCUGGCAGAGGGGGGUAGAAUUCCACGUGUAGCAGUGGAAUGCGUAGAGAUGUGGAGGAACACCGAUGGCGAAGGCAGCCCCCUGGGUCAAGAUUGACGCUCAUGCACGAAAGCGUGGGGAGCAAACAGG